GACGAACCGUGCGAACGUUAUUCGGAAUCACUGGGCUUAAAGCGCGUGUAGGCGGGUCGGCGCGUCGGCCGCUGAAAUCCCCCGGCUCAACCGGGGAAGCGGCGCCGAUACGGCCGGCCUGGAGGGACGUAGGGGGGGCUGGAACUUCCGGUGGAGCGGUGAAAUGUGUUGAGAUCGGAAGGAACGCCCGUGGCGAAAGCGAGCCCCUGGACGUCUACUGACGCUGAGACGCGAAAGCCAGGGGAGCGAACGGG
rnacentral:rRNA from 1 species